GGAUGUGGCUCAAUGGUAAAGUGCUUGCCUGGCAUGCAUGAGGCUCUGGGCCCUGGGUUCAAAUAACCAAGCACCA
rnacentral:tRNA from 1 species